rnacentral:rRNA from 1 species
AUUGAACGCUGGCGGCAUGCCUUACACAUGCAAGUCGAACGGUAACAGGUCUUCGGACGCUGACGAGUGGCGAACGGGUGAGUAAUACAUCGGAACGUGCCUAGUAGUGGGGGAUAACUACUCGAAAGAGUGGCUAAUACCGCAUGAGAUCUACGGAUGAAAGCAGGGGAUCGCAAGACCUUGUGCUACUAGAGCGGCCGAUGGCGGAUUAGGUAGUUGGUGGGAUAAAAGCUUACCAAGCCGACGAUCUGUAGCUGGUCUGAGAGGACGAUCAGCCACACUGGGACUGAGACACGGCCCAGACUCCUACGGGAGGCAGCAGUGGGGAAUUUUGGACAAUGGGCGAAAGCCUGAUCCAGCAAUGCCGCGUGCAGGAUGAAGGCCUUCGGGUUGUAAACUGCUUUUGUACGGAACGAAAAGCCCCGGGUUAAUACCCCGGGGUCAUGACGGUACCGUAAGAAUAAGCACCGGCUAACUACGUGCCAGCCGCCGCCGUAA